rnacentral:lncRNA from 1 species
UGAGGCGGCUUCAGGAGCGCAUGGCACGGCUUCGGGGCGGUCGAGGGUUGGACGGCGCUGUGGACAUGGGGGCUCGAGGGGCUGCCGCACAUGACCUGGCCCAGCGCUACGUGCGCGAGGCCCAGAGUCAGGGCGCACAGGUGAGCAAGGUGUACAGGGAGGAGGGACCUGGAAACCCAACUCCUGGGUCUGAGGGAGGAGGGGCUGGGGGCCGAGACUCUGAAUCUGAGGGAGGAGGGGGUGGGGACCAAGACUCUGGGUCUGAGGGAAGAGGGGCUAGAGGCCUAGUCUCCCAGGUCUGAGGGAGGAGGGGCUGGGGUCCCAGACUCUGAGUCUGAGGGAGGAGGGGGCUGAGGGUCCUGACUCCUGGGUCUGAGGGAGGAGGGGCUGGGGGUCUGGACUCCUGUGUCUGAGGGAGGAGGGGGCUGGGGGCCCAGACUCUGGGUCUGAGGGAGGAGGGACUGGGGGCCUAGUCUCCCAGGUCUGAGGGAGGAGGAGCUGGGGGUGUACCUUAGAUCUUUCCUUUCCCCUCAGGUGUUCCAAGGCUGGCGAUGUUCCCUCAGUCAGCCCAUUCUUCCCUCCAACUUUGGUCUCUGACCUGCCCCCAGCCUCCCCAUGUACCCAGGCAGAGGUGAGCCCUUCAGGGCCCCGGAAGUCCUUUUCCAUCCAGCCGUCUCCAGCCACACAUGGGCAGCAACACUACACCUGCAGAGGCCCCCGGGGUGACCAUUUGGUCGGGGUCUGGGGGCUGCUCAAUGGGUGGGGUGUUGGAGGGGGGGAGCUGGCCGGGCCACCUGAACUCCGUCGUCACCCCUCCCAGGUGCCCUGGCCUGUGGUCGGGGCCUCCCCAUUCCCCACAGCUAAGGAGGCACUGGCCGUGGCCAACGGGACGCCCCGAGGAGGCAGUGCCGGUGUGUGGAGCGAGAGACUAGGGCAGGCCUUGGAGCUGGGCUAUGGGUCAGUCGGCGCCUGCUGGGGCACAAAAGCAGUCUGUUGGGUGGGGGGAGGGGGAGGCUCAAGCUUCUGCUCUUUCUCUCAGUCUUGGGGUCUCCGUUCCACUCUCUGUGGGUCUCUGGGUCUCUCUCCACCCUGCCCCUCCGACCAUUUACCCCCUGCAACCUUCUGUUCUUGCUGAUGUCCUCCUCCCCCCGGACAGGCUCCGGGUGGGCAGGGCCUGGAUCAACGCCCACGGCCUUAGACACCCCGAAGUGCCCACAGGUGGCUGCAAGGAGAGUGGGUCUUCCUGGCACGGGGGCCCAGACGUGAGUUCCCUCCCCCUGCCCCCCAUCAGCACCCCCUUCAACCCCCCAGUGCCCACCUUGCGUCUUUUUGACACUCUGCCCCUCCCACAGGGUCUGUAUGAGUAUCUGCGGCCCUCCGGGACCCCUGCCCGGCUGCCUUCCCUUCCUGAGAAUCUGAACUAUGACACCUUUGGCCUUGCUGUCCCCCUGACCCUACCAUCUGGGCCUGAAAUAGGACCCAGGUGGGCUGCAACUCCCAGCAUCUCUGGGGGUACGGCAGGCGGGGAGAAGGGAAGUUGGAGCAGGC